rnacentral:rRNA from 1 species
UACGUAGGCAGCGAGCGUUGUCGGAGUUACUGGGCGUAAAGGGUGUGUAGGCGGUUGUUUAAGUUUGGUGUGAAAGUCUCCCGGCUCAACUGGGAGGGUGCGCCGAAUACUGAGUGACUAGGAGUGCGGGAGAGGAAAGUGGAAUUCCUGGUGGUAGCGGUGGAAUGCGCAGAUAUCAGGAAGAACACCCGUGGCGAAGGCGGCUCUCUGGAACGCAACUGACGCUGAGACGCGAAAGCGUGGGGAGCAAACAGG